rnacentral:lncRNA from 1 species
GAAUGGACAGGGUUUCCCCUGUACUACGGACAGAGUCUCCCCUGUACAUUCAAGGCAUCGCAAUCAAUACAAUUCACGAAGGUUCCAACCAGGAACAGAUAUCAAUCAAGAUUGCAAGUGGAAGGUAUCAUACAACAUAAACACAUCCUAAGUUAUUACAUUCAUUCACUUUCAUAGUUUUUACAUCACAGUUUCCAUUCUUUUUCAUCCAAAUGCAAUCUAAGUUAUUACAACAUUUACUUACUACAAGUUUGAUACAUUGUAUUCUUUUCAUUUCCUUUACCCCUAAGCUAUAUAGACGGGGUACUGCUAGCUCUGGUCUCUGGGGUAGGGCGCUAUCUGCAAAACUACGCCCUCGCCUUGCGCCGCCCCGUCGCACACGUGUGUACCUGUACCCACAAAACAGCAACACGGGGGAGAGACUAUUGUCCAUAGUCCUCAGUGGGUUUAGCCACCCAAGAGAACCAGCUCAACCAACAGGUCUAACGAGGCACUGCAACAUGUUAGUUCAACAAUAUACAACAGAUAUAUAUAUUCAAUUGAAAUACAUGUCAUGCCUCACGAAAUGCAAUAUGUAAUACCUAUAAUCAUGCAAGUAGGUUACUUUAACGCUACAUAUAUUCUUAAUCAUUCUUUACUCUUGUCAUUUAAUGUUUACUUUUAGCUCUUAGCUAUUCUUUACUUGUAACCUUUCUUUACUUAUCAGCUAUUCUUAUUCCUUAGCCAAUCUUUAUUCUUUACUUAUUCUUUAUUCUUUACACUUUGUCGCACUUUUCCACUGGCCAUUCUUUCCUAAGGUUUCUCUUACCUUAGUUCUCUAUGCCACCCGACUCGGUCUUGAGUCAAUCAAUCGCGGAUAGUCCGCGCACUGUCUAGCUCGAGGUGAAGGAACUCUCACAUGCACCUCAGCUGGUAACAGCUCACCGUACUCCUGUCCUAGCCGUCUGGCGGCGAACGAAUCGCACCUAACCCAACAACGGCCUAGGUCCAUAACUUAGCCACCCGGCGGCGAAAUCGUCGCACAAACGUCACGACAGUGGUUUAGUCAACAGGCGGUAGGAUCCACAAACUGGCUAACCAUCCGGCGGCGAAAUCGUCGCACACGCCACGACAAUGGUUCAUUAGCCCUUGGGCGGCGAAAUCGUCGCACACACACGACACCACUUUGGGUGUAUCCUUUUAGCCUUGGGAUUCCGGAAUCCAUUUCACAUCACAUAGGGGUUGGUCUUAACCCUAUGGAACUGACCUCUCUAGGUCUAAGCCUUUACUUAACCUAAGUUCACCCAUUAGGUUUAUUGCUUUCACAUUCUUAACUUAGGUUUAUUACACUAGGAUCAUUAUUCUUUCCAACCUAGGUUCACUUGACUCUAGGUUAAGUACUUUUCAUUUCACGACCUAUGUUUAUUAACACUAGGUUAGAUGCCACUCGAUCUAUUUGAUUCUAGGUCUACUCACGACCUAUGUUUCUUAACACUAAGUUAGAUGCCACUCGAUCUAAUUCACAUACUAAUUGUCCAAUUAAGCAUUCUACUCAUUCGAGAGUUGUCAAUUCUCAUUUUCCAAUGUUAUCUCUCUAAUCAAGCUAGAGUUAUCAACCAAGUUCAUAUGCAUAUAUAAUCUCACAAUGCUAAGCAUGCAUCUAUGAUCUCAUAAUGCUAAUCAUGCGUUUAUAAUCUCAUAUAUCAUUUAUAUACAUCUACUUAGCAUUUACAUCAUACUAUAAACAUGCAUCAUAUAACUUGCUCAUUAUGCAUUCUAGCAUUUCUACAUUACAUUAUUUAGCAUUAUGUAACUUGCUCAUAAUGCAUUCUAUUUAGCAUUUACAUCAUACUAUCAACAUGCAUUAUUUAGCUAUAUGCAUCAUUUACAUGCUUCAUUUACAUUUAUAUGCAUCAACAUGGAUUCUUAGUUUCUUAGACAUAAAGGCGACCUAGUCGCUUCGGUAAACACAACCCACCUUAAUUCGCGUUCCGAUUGCUUGUCGACACUUGCAAUCGGCAUCCCGCGGCACCCGUAUCUGGCACGGCCCGAUAUUGCAACUGCGCCUCAACCGUGCUCCGCUUCGCAGCCCCGAAAAUUAUAGGUCUUCGGUUAUGUGCCACGAUGCCUCAAAUCCAUUUCCAUGAUUUUACGACGUCGCCUCGGCCCUCCCGGCGGACCCGAAGCCUAAACGUCUAUUUCUUUAAUAACUUUGUAACGGCUCGUCGGAUUGCCGAACCGUCUUCGCCAACGCGCUUCGUUACCUAGCAAUUAGGUUUACGAAGGGUCAAAUGAGAUCAAACCCUCAUAUUUUGAAAGUUUGCAUUUUGGAGCCCUAUGUUACAACUAUGCAAGAAAUCACUAAAUUGAUUCAUGAUUUAAGCAUCAUUCAUCUAGAUAGCAUGCUAGGAUUCCUCUAAAUCCAUUUAUAAGCUAUUUAACCCAACCAUUAAGGAUCUACCAUUAAUGGGUAAGGAGCUUACCUCCAAGAGCUUGCUCCAAAAUGAAGAAGAAGAAGAUGAUGGUGUUGAUGAUCCCUCCAAGCUUCUUCUCCACCAAUUUCACCUCUUUUGGGAGAGAUUUAGAGAGAGAAAGAGAGAGUUUUCUCUUCUCCUUCCAUGCGUAUGUGGGUGUGUGUCGUGGGUGUGCACGGGUUGGGGCUGCACGGUUGAGGGAGAAGAAGCAUUUGCUUCUUUUACAACUUAACCCCUCAACUAUACACUAUUCACAUUACGGACAGCUUGAAAUCUGAUAAAUUUCGUUGGAGCCCUUCUGAAUGUCCGAUUGAGCUCAAAUUUGACAGGCAUGUUCGGUUUUACUUAAUAAGUCCAAAAAAAUUUUAAUAUUUCAGUUUCGACCCCGUUUGGUCACUGAAAACUGUACCGAACUGCAAUCUUUAUCAGAUAGCUUUCGGAUCCUAUUUCUCUCUCUACGGGUGUCAGAAAAAUAUGAAACUUUAAAUCUAGCCUCAUAAAAAUAUUUCUGACAUCCCCGCAAAUUUUCAUAAUUUUCUGAGACUGUGCAUUUUCUGCUAAUUAAGAGUUUAGCCCUAUUAUAUCUCAUAUAUAGGACUAUCUGGGGUCUCACAAUCUCCCCUCCUUUAAGCCCUGACGUCUUCGUCAGGCUCAGACUCACAAGUACCAGGCGAUGUGAGACUCGUCUCGCUAGCCCGUCAUCCAGACCCUGGCUCAGCUGAGACUCAUCUCACACUUCCGGCUGGUAAUUGGCUCUGAUAACACAAUUCUAAAUAUUUUCCUCAUAAGAGACAUAUUCCCAAGCUUGCAAUAUGAAUAUUUAACACAUGCAUAGAUACUACACAUAAGGCUCUACACAUAGAGUGAAAUAUUCAUGAUACAUAAUGCAUGCAUUUUAAACAUUCAAAAAUUCACAUAAAUCCUAUCUAGGAUGAAAAUGCAUAAACCACGAUGAUAUGAAAGCAUUUAACCACUUAGGAGACAUUUUCUCCUAUUCCAAUGAAGCCAAACCCACCGAAGUUACCGAAACCCUUCGUAAGCUCCGACGAAGGUGUCUACUAGCCUCCUAGCACCCUAAAGAUGUAGGAACAAGAGUUAAACUAACCUUACGAUUAACCCUAAACUCAAUCAUAAGACCACGUAGGCUAAGUUGGAGAAAACUCACCUAUGAGGUAGAAAUUCUCUCACAAACCCCAAAUGGAAGCCAAAUCCCUUCCAAAGCAACCUAUUCUAAGGUUCUAAACCCAUCAAGAGAGUUCUAAAAGCAUCUAAUCAAAAAGCCCCAAAAUAACCCUAAAUCUCAUUUCUAGGGUUUCAUCUACCAUAAAGCAUCAAAACUAAAAUCUAGAGGGGGAGGAUAAGCUACAAACCUCUAAGAAGCUUCAAACCAAGCUCAAAGUCCUCUAGGUCCAAGAAUCUUCCCUCAAACAAGUCUCAAGUCCAAGCUCCAAACUUCAACCAUGGUGGAGAUACACAAAGAGGGAAAAGGGAGAGAUCAAUCCACCAAAAUCCAAGCUAAAAGGAGAUCAAAUCCAAAGAGGGGAAGAGAGAGGCUCCCCUACCUAUUCUCUGCAUGUGCAAGGCUCAAAGAGAGCCCUAAGGGGUGUGGGUACACAUAUAGUGCUGUUACAAUAGCAAAAACACCCCUGCAGUUCAAGCAGUCUUCGGACUGCACUGCGUACCGGUACACGGGGUCGCGUACCGAUACACAUCCCACGAAAAUGCCAAACCCGAGCUUCGGGUUGGCUGAGAAGCUGCUUGUGUACCGGUACACGGCCCCGCGUACCGGUACAACCAUCACUCCCUACCGGUACAGCCAUCAACCCUGUACUGGUACACAGCCUGCUGAAGGCUACCCGAGAGCACACCAAUAAUCCAACUUUUUGGGUUUUGGUGCCAAGUUUUAAAUCUCAAUUCUCGGAACUCGAACUAUAAGUCGGAACACUGUCUACGACCCUCCACAACGUGUGGAAAAGUUCGGAAGACAAAUCAAACACUCGAACCUCGCUAUUUGCAAAGGUCCAGUGUGUUACAGGUAUUCACCCUAUGCAUUCAUCUAUGCAAUCAACUACAAUUACUCAUGUAUGCAUCAACGAGAAUUCAAGCUCCACUUUGACAUGGAGGCGACCUAGUCGCUUCGGUAAGAACAACCCACCUAUUGUCGUUUUCCGAUUGCUUAUAGUCACUUGCAAUCGGCCUCCCGCGGCACACGCCGCCCGGCUUGGCCCGAUCUUGCAAUUAGUCACCAACCGUGCGUCAAUUCGCGGCCCUGAAUUUUAUAGGUCUAUAACUUGAUGUCAUGAUGCUCGGGAUCCGUUCUCGUGAUUUUUGGACGUCGCCUCGGCCCUCCAGGCGGAAACGAAGGCAAAUCCUCCGUUUCUUCAAUAUCUUCGCGUAGGCUCGACGAAUCGCCGAAUCGACUUCGCCAACGCGUCAGAAAACCUAAUAAUUAGGUUAGUAUAGGGUUAAUUUAGAUCAAACCCUAACAUCUAGCAAAAUCCCAUUUUGGAGCCUUAGGUUGCUACACAUGCAAGAAUACCCCAUUCAAACUUUAGAUUCAAGCAAUUAGCAACCCAUUAGCAUCUACGGGUUCAACCAAUCCAUUUCUAGAGCAUAAGAUUCUAACCCUAGAAAUCCACCAUUAAACCCUAUGAAGCUUACCGUUAAGUCUUGUGUAUUGGCAAGUUUCGUGAAGUGAGUCGGAGUCUUGAAGAACCGGUGUGUAUCAUCGAAGAUCGAAGAAUUCAAGAUUUCGAAGAAGUCAGAAAAUAACUCACGACGUGAAUCACGAUGCUCUGGUAAAGUUUUAAUUCAUGUUAUGGUGAUUCAUACUUAGUUAUAGGCAUUAGAAUCAUAAACUCAAAGUUUAAUGGAUUAGAAAGUGCCUCGGAACGUUGUGAAACCCGAAACAGUGAAAAAGCUGAAAUUUGCACUGUGUACGGGUACACAUGAAAGUGUCACCGGUUACACACUGUGUACACUCAUGAAAGUGUCACCGGUUACACACUGUGUACGGGUACACAUUGAAAGUGUACCGGUACAAAAUCUGUACCGGUACAGCAAGCGACUUGUCACCGGUUACAGCAUUACGCAGGUUUUUCGUUCCGUCAUCGUGUAACCGGUGACAGCCUAAAGUGUACCGGUACACAGUGUAAAAUCGUGAAAACUUUCUAAUCCGACUCCAAUUGAUUCUAAAGUCUAUAAAUAAGCUAUUGGGCUUCUCUAACACAUCAAGCAUCAUAAGAAUACAUGUUUGAGAAACCCUAGAGGCUCGGAUUUCAUCUUAAACCUAUUUUCUACAAAAAGCCUCUUUUAGAUCAAAUCGAGAUAUUGAAAUUUGAUAUUAAUAUGUCGAUUUGAUCUCCGCUUCGCUUGGAGUUCUAUUCCCUGGUUUUCUACGAUACUCCUAAGCGAAGGAUCACCAUACACAUGAUGCUCUUCAUGAACGGCGUCGUGGAUUCGGCGUGAACGAAGACGGUUCGUGGAUUCGGAUCGUGAGCUCGUGGAUUCGAGUGGGCGUCGUGGAUUCGACGUGAUCGAGGCUUCGUGGAUUCGAAGUGGUGACGUUUCGUGGAUUCGGGACGUGGCGUUCGUGGAUUCGGACGUGGGGCGUGGACAACCCGUUGGUGUGCGCGAGAUCCGGAGAAGAUAGAAGAGAGGUUUGAGUCCGUGGAUUCGGUAAAUCACCUUGUAAUCUUUUAUUCUUAGUGGAUUGUUAUCGCGUGUUGGUCCCGUGGGUUUUUUACUCCGAGUUUGGAGUUUUCCCACGUAAAUCUCGGUGUGCUUUUUAUUUUCUGCAUUUAUUUUUAUUGCAUCAAGAUUUGUGAUUUUUUGGCCGUUCACCUAUUCACCCCCCUCCCCCCUCUAGGUGAUAGAUACAAUCUAGAUAGAUCCUUGGGCUACUCAAAACUUUCACUUACCUCCAAAGCUUGCUCUUGGACCAAGGAAGAAGAUGAAGAAGAUGGAGAGCCUCCUCCAAGCUUCCUUCUCCUCCUUCACCUUCUUCAUUUCCACCUUGAAGAGAGAGAGAGCAAGAGAGCUUUAGAGAGAGAGAGAGAGUGUUUUAGGGUUGGUUGUGAGGGAGAAAGAGAGAGGGAUGACAGAAACCCAUCUCAUAUAACCCCUCCGAUGCCAAAUUGCAUAAAACACCCUUAACAAUGCUUCCUUGCGCACAGCCCAAAUUGGGCAUUUUCGAGCUACGGGGUCCGGUCCUUGGCUUGAGGGACCGGACCCCGGAUGUCACGUCCCGCUAUCGCCAAUUUGGUCGAUCCGGGCCCGUACACAGACGCCGAACGGACAGAACCUCCUCUGUCCGCCCAAGGCUCAACAACAACGAGUACAUGAAUAAAGAAAUAAGUAAUUUCCAGGAUAAUAUUUCAAUAUACAUGGCUUGCACGAGGGCAAGCAACCAGCACAAGUGAUAGUAAGCUAGCUAUACUGAAAAUUCACUGUAAUUUAAAACUUUUAAACUGAACUUUACAUAACUAACUAACUGAAAUAUUUAGUUAUAUACAUGCUUUAUAAUACAUUCAUUUACAUGUCUCUGUACAUCGAAAUGUCUCACAUGAACUCAAAAUGGUAUACCACUAAACACUGGUGUCUGCUAGCUAGGCUGCAGGGCUCUUGCCGCGAUCCUCGGCCACAACGCUCGCACUGGAACCUGUAUGGUUAGUGGUGUGAGAACUACUAAAAGUUCCCAGUGGGUUCGGCCGUCGACCUCGCCGACUCACCCACUAGGUCUAUUCAGGCAUAUGUAGGCAAAAGAAGUAAAUAGAUAGUAACCAACUAUAACAUGUAACUACUAUAAUGCUUGUACAAAGCUGAAAGAACGCAAUAUAUGUAAGCUGUAAAUAUGCAUGCAUGCUUUUUACUGAAUUUAUCCAAUCCAUUGGUUAACCCUUUGGUUAACAAUAACUCACCAACGCAAUCCCUGAUAAUCGGACCCUAAGCUGCCUCCCGACGAGACCGUCUGCUGGACAGAUACUUUAGUCCAUGGGCAAAUACUUUAGCCCAUCAUGUGACAACCUCCGAAGUGCACUGCUUGGGUGGAGCGACCACCACCAAGCUCAAAACAGACUAUGUGAGUAUGAUCUGAUCCUCCUUUAGAGGAUUUAACAAUAGACAAUAUUACACUUUAACUCUAACUAGCUCUUUAUGCUAGUUGCAAUUCCAUUUCUCAAUGCUAUCCAAAUCUCUAGUCAUGAUGUCACCCAGUUCACUAUUGUUAUAGUCCAUACAUUCAUAGGGUUCUAUGUCCACAUUCUAAUGUUCACAUGUUCUCACUGUUGAUAGAAAUUCACACUUUCACUUGCACGAUGCCAAUACCCUAUAAUGCAUGACUACAAAUACAAAUAUGCUCAAUGAAUUAUCAUAGACAUAAAAGGUGAUUCAAAGACUUCGAAUAGCACCACCCACCUGUAGUGGUGUCAAACACUAGGAUCUCACGUCUCGAAAUGCGUCGACAAUUAUCUCUCGCGACUCAAAGCAAAUAGCACUAGAACGGUCUCUACUGUAAUUAGCGUGUCGCCGACCUGUCAGAAAGUCAAUUUAGACUUUUGAGCAAGUUAAACUUUCAUUUAUAUAGGAAUAAGAGAGACUAAACUAGUGUCAUUUCUCAUAUUUUACAAGUUAGCAUUUCUAUAGCACAUAAAGUGUCAACUCAAGAUUGAUUUCAGCAUUGAGCUGAAAUCUUGCAUCAUGCUGUAUUUUCAGCAUCAUACUACUGUAUUUGUGAGAUAUUGAAUCUCGAUGGAAUUUGGCUAACUUUGGCCAAAUGGACCAAAGUGGGCAAUUGAACGGUUUGAACAAGUUCCAUUCGGUAUUCCAACAAGCUUGGAAGAGCUAAAACGAGUUCCAAAGGUGUUGGAUUGGUUUUGACAUCAAACGGUGCGAAAUAGAGCCGAAGAGAUGUGAAAACAGUAUUCUGGAGCUGUUGUACCGGUACAAGAGUGAUAGUUGUACCGGUACAACCAUUGCAGGCUCUCGGGUUGGAGGCUGCCAGACCUUGUACCGGUACAAGAGGGUCUUGUACCGGUACAAGCCCUGCGCAACCGAGAAACCGAGCUCUUGGGUUGGGCUGUCUGCCAGGCCUUGUACCGGUACAAGAAACCGUGUACCGGUACAAGGGACCCGAAACUGCAGGUCAGUUUGGAAAAUUAGAUUUUUGAGGGGGCUUUUGGGAUUUUGUUACAAUAGAGGGUUAUAAUACCUCUCUCUCAGCCACUCUCUCUCAUUUUCUCUCCCUCUCUCUCUUACCUCUCUUGCUCUCUCUCUCUCUGAACCGAAAAAGGGAAAGAAAGAGAAGAAGAAGAAGAAAAGAAGGAGAGAAAGAAAGAGAAGAAGAAGGAAAGGAAGGAGAAGAUCAAGGAGGGGAAGUUGAAGCUCUCUCCCUCCUCUUGCUCAAGCUAGGGCUUGCUUUGGAGCAAACCCUAGAGGCGAAGACGGUUCGUCGAUCCGUCGAGCGAGCACGGAGAUAUCGCCGAUUUGGUCGCUCUAGGGUUCAUUUUGACCCAAGGUGUUGAAGAGGCGCACUUGGACCACAACGCCGAGCUUCUUAGCUUUUCGGCACUACCACAAGGUAGGUGGUGACCUUCCCAAAGCCGCGGGGCUACGUUCUAUGUCCGAGUUUAUUAUUGAUCUAAUUGCAUCUUAUUCAUGUUGCAUAUAGGGUUAGAAGAUGAUUAUUGUUGCUUAUAUUUGCAUGCUAGUAGCUAUAUAUAUAUUGUUGAUUGAUCCAUGAUCUAGUAUGCAUAAGAACUACAUGAUGAAAACCUAGACUCUAUAUGAGAUGAUUAAUGUUUAUGUUGCUAAAGAACUAGUAUGAUGUAACUAGUGUUGAAAAUGAGUCUAAAUGAUGAGUGGCAUCUAGUUUAGAAAACUAUGACAAGUGGCAUCUAGUUUAGAAAACUAUGACAAGUGGCAUCUAGUUAUAGAAAACUAUGAUGAAGGACAUAUGAUUGUUGAUAAUUUUGAUAUCGGGAACCUUAGUGUAGUUGAGACACUAUGAGAUUGGGUACAAGAACACCUUGAUUCCAUGAUGAGAUUACCCUUAGAGGGUAGGUUACUGUUGAUUGUGAGUUGAUCGUGCUCACAUAGCCUGUCUGCGCUUGGAGGGGUCGCUCCCCGCAAGCUGUGCACUCCGGAGGUUGGUCACUAGAGGGACAGUCAGUGUGCUGUCUGGACGGUCUGUGUGCUGUACGCAGGCGGUCUCGGGAGUAGUUCAGUGAGACUUUCCCCUGUGAGACUUACACGUGAGUUAUGCUUGUGAACUUCGAGCUCACCAUGAGAUUGGGUAACUUAUUGAGUCACACUCAUUACUUGUUGUUUAUAGUAGCUUACUUGUUGUUGUUGUUCAUAGCAGCUUACCACAUAGCUUUAUUAUCGUUCAUGCAUGCAUGAUAUCAGAUUGAGGCAUAGCUAGAUAUUCAUGAUUCUACCUACUUGCUUACGUUUCCUUACUUGCUCAGUUUCCAUACCUGCUUUUAGUUGGUUUAGUUUUAUAUAUAUAUUUUGCAUAUAUCUCUCUAUGCCUGCUUCGACCUAGUGGGUAGAUCGGUGGAGUCGGCGGCCGAACCCACUGGGAACUAUUCGUAGUUCUCACACCCGUUGUUGCAGGCGCUAGUUCGAGUGUCCCGACCGAGCGGGAGGAUCGCGGCAAGGGCUUGGCGCCCUAGUGGUACCAGUUGGUAGCUUACUUUCCUACUUGCAUUAGUUCACCCUGUGCUUAUGUUUUGAGAGUAGAUGUUGUAUAGGGUGAGGUUUUGGAGAGUACUUGAUGUAUUUUACAUUUUGGAAACAUGUAUGAAGGUUUAAAGAGUUUAAUGCAAGUUGUAUUUAAAUGCUUUAAAUUCAUGGUUCAAUAAUUAAGUUUCUCUCUUUUGUAUACUUGUAUGCUUUUACUAGUAUCGCUUGCUCUUGAUGGUUUUAACACUGUUUGUAACAUACCAGAUUUUGAUAUAAAAAUAAAAAUAAAUAAAAUAGUGUGAGAAACUAUUUUUAUUGGAUUUGUAGGAGUAAAACAUAAGUCAGAAGUGACUUGUGCUGAAAUCGGAUUGAAAACAGAAGAUCUAGAAUUUUCUGUUGAAAACGGGACAAAUAAAUUAGCAGAAAAUGCACAGUCUCAGAAAAUUAUGAAAAUUGGAGGAUAAGUCAGAAAUAUUUUUAUGAGGCUAGAUUUAAAGUUUCAUAUUUUUCUGACACCGGUAGAGUGAGAAAUAAAAUCCGAGAGUUAUCUGAUAAAGAUUACAGUUCGGCACAGUUUUCGGUGACCAAACGAGGUCGAAACUGAAAACUUAAGAUAUAUUCUUACUCAGUACGUUAAACUGAGUCUGCCUGUUAAAUUUGAGCUCAAACGGAUAUUCAGAAGGGCUCCAACUGUUCCGAACUGCAAAAACUGCCUGAAGUGAAUAGUGUUUUGGGUGUUAAAGUAUUUAAGAAGACAUGUUGUCUUCUUCUUCUCCUUCAGCCGCACACACGCCACACACACACACGCACGCAUGGAGUAGAGAGAGAAACACCUCUAUCUCUCUCUAGAUAUCUCUCUCAUCUCUCUAAAUCUCUCUCUAAAAAUUGGAGGGUUGGUGGAGAAGAUGCUUGCAAACACGUUGGAGGCGACGGAUCGGGCUUUCGUGCGGCCGUUGGAGCGGUGUGUUGUCGUCGCGGCGUUCACAUUGAGGUAAGCUUUUAGGAUUUGGCUUAAUCCUUAGUUUUAAAUGUUCUAAUAGCCUCUAAUGAGCAUUCUAAACAUGUUUGCUCUAUUUGAUUUGGAUUAUUUAGAGGUUCAUUCAUGUUAGGGCUCAAAAAUGCAAACUUUCAAAAUAUGAGAGUUUGAUCUCAUUUGACUCUUCGUAAACCUAAUUGCUAGGUAACGAAACGCGUUGGCGAAGACGGUUCGGCGAUUCGUCGAGCCGUUGCGAAGUUAUUAAAGAAACGGACGUUUAGGCUUCGUUUUCGCCUGGAGGGCCGAAGCGAUAUCGUAACCUCACGAAAAUGGAUUUGAAGCAUCGUGGCACAUAACCGAAGACCUUAAUUUUCGAAUCGUGAAUUGGAGGCCGUUCGGGUAGUCGCGCGAGAGAUUGGGCCAAACCGGGUGCCGGGUGCCGCGGGAGGCCGAUUGCAAGUGUCGACAAGCAAUCGGAAUGCAAAAUGAGGUGGGUUGUGUUUACCGAAGCGACUUGGUCGCCCUGCAUGUCAAAACGAAAUGUGGAAUCUUGUUGAUGCAUAUGUGUAUGUGCAUACGGCAUAUUAGCAUUGUAUAAAUGCAUGCUAGUUGGUAAUUUGCAUAUUAGUAUGUAUGCUUAGUGAAAUACAUGCUAGGGGUAUUUAGCAUUAUGAGAUUCAUGUUGACAUGUAUUAGAGAACGUGAGCAUAUAAAUGAAUGUUAACAUGUUGUUAAUUAUAUGAGUUAUGAGAAAUUGCUAAAUGUGGACACAUGUUAGAUGACAAUAAGCAUAUUGACAUUAUGAAAAUGCAUACUACAGGAUAAUUGCAUAAUAAGGCAUUGGGAAAGUACAUGCUAGUUGUAAUGUAUGUUGGCAUUGAGAGGAUGCAUGUAGUUAACAUUAAAAGAAUGCAUGUAAAUGACAUGAUGUAAAAGCUAGGCAAAUGCUUGGUAUGGUUGCUAUAUAAUAAUUAUCGUAGAAUGCAUGAUGAAUAUGCUAUGUAAAUGCUAGAUGAUUGCAUGAAUUGGAUCGAUAACUCUAUGAUAGAGACCUUGACAUUGGACAUCUAUAUAUUAGAUCGAGUGGCACUUAACCUAGAGUCAGGAACCUAGGUUGAACAUGGAUGAUAUGAACCUAGUGUGAAUAAACAUAGGUUGGACAUGAACCUAGUGUCAAAGAACUUAGGUUGGAAUCAUGUGUGGCAUUAAACCUAUUGUUAAAGAACAUAAGUCGGACUUGGACAAUAGUAAACAAGGGUGACAAUGAAAAUAGAGACAUGAUUGGCAUCAAGAAAGUGGUUGUUAAACAUAGUUUAACCAUAUUGACAUUGGUCCAAGUUGACAUAGAGAGUGGCAUGAUUAAAUAGGUAGAAAACCUAUUAUGACAUUGGCAUUGUGACUAGUGGCUAUGAAUCCUCAAGUUGAGGAUUGAUCGAUACUCACGUUACGUCUUGGCUUGAGGGAGGUAGCUCCCCCUCGGGCGGUGCGCUCCGGAGUUGGUCACCACUGGGCGUGGUAAAGUCCCCCCAGAUGACGGUCCCCAGGGAGGUUCGAGUCCCCCGUUAUUAAGGGAUUUUGGUUGUGAGUUAUUGGGGUUAACAUGGUUAACCGGUAAGAUUGGGUCAUAGCCAAAUGAAUGUACAACAAGUAUACAUUAUGAGUUAUGGAUUUGGUAUCCCAGUCGAGAGAAUUUAGGGCUGAGGUGUAUGUGAGACGUCCAUCGCCUCGAGCCUGGUUCUAGUGCGGUACUCCGCAGACGAUUGACUCAAGACCGAGUCGGGUGGUUAGCCUUGUAAAGGUAGAUGAAACUUUAUGAUUAAAACGGUGAUUGACAAGAAUCUAAGAUAGAGAAAAUCUUAGAUAUCAAACGGAUGAGCUAUGGUUAGCAGAAUGGAAAGUAGUAUCGAGUGAACUACUAGUUGGUUGCAUUAUUGAAUGAUUUGCAUAUAGCAUUGUAUUAUUACGUUUGUGAGGCAAUGCAUGAUUUUAUUUGUUGCAUAAUCAAGAUAUGUAUAUCUAUCUGUUUAUUAAACUAACCUGCAGUUGCCUCCUUUGUACCUGUUGGUCGAGCAUUUCCCUUGGGUGGCCGUACCCACUGGGAACCAUGGAGUUGGUUCUCACCCCACGUGGUUUUGGGGUGUUUACAGGUUCGCACGUGAGCGGCGCGGCGGCGCGAGGCGAGGGCGUAGCAUCAUAGUUAGCGCCCUACCACCGAGACCAAAGAUAGCGGUACCCUGAGUCGGCCUCUACUUAGGGAUGUAAGAAAAUGAAAGGAAUAAGAUUGUAAUAAUCAUGUUAAAUCGGAUUGUAUUUGGAAGUUAAAUGUAAUAAGUAUUUGGGAUGUAAAAUGUAUGAAUGUGAAUGUAUGUAGUAACAUAGGAUGUGUUAUGUUGUUUGAUACCUUCCAUUAUGCAAUCUUGAUUGAAAUGUGUUCCUGGUUGGAACUUCGCACAUUGUAUUGAUUGCGACGCCUUGAAUGUACAGGGGAGACUCUGUCCGCGGUACAGGGGAAACCCUGUCCGUUCGGCGGUCUGUCGGCGGCGCCGCGACCCGGCCAAAUAGGCGGGUGGUUGCGGGGCGUGACACUGUUUGUGUUAUCGUUGUUUGAUUGUGUAUGAAAUCAAGUUGUUUUUUCCUGGGGACUUAUUGUACACACUAUCGUUGGUUAGCCUUGGGCGGACAGGGGAGACUCUGUCCGUUCGGCCUCACGCCGCCGCCCUCGAACCGGACCAAAUAGGUACUGUUUUCGGGCCGUGCGGUCGGGGCGUGACAGUAUUAGCUUCCCUGGCAGCUCUACUACACGGAAAUUAGAGUAAAUUUACCCUCAAUUUCCUCUUUACUAGUCAUCUCAAGUUAUGUGCAUGUAUACUAGACCUCGGCUAGUUUUAUAGGAUGCAAACUAGAAGCUGAUCAACAUAGGUUCGAACUUCCCUUAGCUCAACUAAGCACAGAACUCUUAAGUAACAUCCUUCUGUUACACUUAAUCGAACCUUAGUUCAUGUUGAAUUAUACUUAUCUCAAUUAGAUACUUAAUUAAUUUGCUCAGCUCCUAAUUUCAAUGCUGAAAUUCUGCAUUUGCUGAAUUUCAGUUCAUGCUGAAAUUCAGCAUAUGUUUGCUUCCUAGCUCACUUAGGAAUCAUGUUUAUAACACCCAACACCACUCAUUUUAGGGAUAAACUCUAUUCUUACCUGAAUUAGAAGCUUUACUAAGCGGUUCUCAGCUUUCUAAAGUUUCCUUUCAGCUCGGAACACCAACAGAAGUUCCACCAAGCUUCCUAAUUCGAAGCUUCUCUAAUUAGCAUUCUCUACAAAAUAAGUAAUUAAUCCUAAAUCAGGACUUGAACAAUUAUUUUACCUCAAAGCUCAACUGAGCUUUUGUCAAUUCUUGCAGUCUUUAUUUCAACUCGAAGCAUCUAGAAACUCUCUCAAAGCAUCAGCUUCAGCCAACUCUCAAUUCGGACAGCAAGACUGCACCCAUGAUCAACUUCAUUUGGCAGCUUCAACAAGAUUCAAUUCCAAAUCUGCUACCACUAGCAGCAUAAAGUCCAGGUAAGUAUCAUCUCUAAAGCAAUUUACUUGAUCCUAGUCAAGUAUUAAAACAAGAUUAUCUUAAGCAAAUGCUGAAUCUGCUUGCUCACUGCAUCAAUUGGUCCAUUCCUGCAUUUCAGGUCAGCAGGGCUUCAACUUCACCAAUUCUCCUUAACUGGAAGCUUCUCCAAGUUUUGCUUCAGCUCCAGCAGCAGGAAAUGGUUAAGUAGGUCAUCUUUAUGGCAAUUCAUUUGACUCUAAUCAAAUAUUAGAACGAAACUACCUUAACUAGAAGCUGAACUACUUGUUCACUGCUUCAAAUGGUCCAAUUCAUCAUUGUAGCAGCAACCAUCGCAUGAGCUCCUUGCCAGGUAGCUUCUCUCAGCUCGAACCAGCAAAGGAGUCAAGUUCUUACUUCAAUUCCAGGUCUUCUCAGUUGGUCCCUGGUUUGAGCAAGCUCCAGUAAUUAAAAUUCAGCUCCACCACACCAAGAUCACCAAGUUCCAAUCCUGACAGCCAAUAAAGUCUUCAUUCAUCUCUUCUCUAAAGUAACCAACUUAACUUUAAUCCAAUAUGGAACAAGCUUACUGUCACGCCCCGGGACCCAGCGGAAACCCGCCCGGCGCGUGCCCAGACCCGCCAUACGUCUAAAACAUAUAAGGCGUCUAAAAAUAAUAAUAAAUAAAGCGGUAAUAAAAGACAACUAGGAGUAUCAGAGCAUGAUAUAAUACUAAGUUCUACAAUAGAGAAAGGAGCAUAAAGCUGGAAUCCACUAAUAAAAGCAUAAAGUAAAACAAAGAAAAUCCCAAAUACAAGUGCUAAAAAGUAGAUACAUAGGUGGUCUCUAUACAUGGAUACAAAAUCUCUCACUCUCUCAACUACAAAAAGAAAGAGCAAACCACCUAGGCAAAGAACCGCUCCUCGCUAGCUAGCUAUGCGAUCCCCUUGCCGCGAUCCCGUGCCUCCGCCGGUGCAGAAGGCUCUGAAAGAAACCACGAAAAAGAGGGCGUGAGAACUAUUAAAAAUAGUUCCCAGUGGGCAAUUACUGACUUCAGUGAAUGCACCACGAGGCCCAAAGCUACAAAAGAUGUCAGUGACUAUAAAAGUAGAAAAGCGAAAGGUAAGUAAAAAUGUAACUUACUACAACAUGAUAUCUCUACUUAGCAUAAUUAGCAUAAGUAUGAAGCAACUAUGCAUGAAGUAAAAGUCUCCAACUAUCAUAAUGUUCACAAUGCGAAAUAGUAAAGUUCCGUUGUUUACUAUUCUAGUCAAUGUCCAAGUAGUACACUAAGUCAUCAUCUGUCCACAUGUCAUAAUGAAUACUCAAAGUCAAAUCUGAAGAGACCCACCCGAAGGCUGUCUAUGGCCCUGAGACCCACCCGUAGGCUGUCUGGCCGAUGCCGAGCCUAGUGGCCCCGUGGUAGUCAUCAUCCCCAACCUAGGAAUGAGCCUGGCCCACGGCAAUCCACUUUGGCGCCCAAUCCCGCACGGCGAAUAUAAAUCGCGAUGGCCAUCUCCGGAGUGCCGGCUUGUAGGGAGCGACCCUCACAAGCAUGUGCGAAUGAGCACAAUGGCAAGUAGUCAUAUGUCCUGUCACAAGUACCAAGUCCUCAUGUCUAAUAACAUGGAAUGUAUCGAAUGUCCCAAAGGUCUAUCUCUAUGUCAUCAUGUCUCUACAUGGAGUAUAUAGCAGAUGUACAAUGGCUUAACAUUAUGUCUCUAAGUUGAAGUUUCAACCGUUUUCUAGUUCAAGUGCCCCUUUAUGACACUUUUGCUCACUAAGUCAUAACAUGGCAAUUAUGUUUAAGAUUGCAUGAUUCUAGUCAUUUCCCCACAUAAGAGACAUAUUUCCAAGUUGCAAUUACAGAUUACAUAGCUCAUGCAUGUAUGUCAUUCACAUGGCUCUACUACAUAGAGUGAAAUUUUCAUUACACAUAAUGGUGGCGUUUUAAGCAUCCAAAAAUUCAUAAUAAUUCUACUCAACAUAAAUAUGCAUGCAUUUAUGGUAUACGAAAACGUUUAACCACGUAGGGGGCAUUUUCCCUCUAUGUCAAAGAAGCCAAACCCACCGAUGACAACGGAACUCCUCGUUUGCUCAAACGAGGGUGUCUUCUAGUCUCCUAGUACCCUAGGGAUCUAGGAACAAGUGUCAAACAAGGCUUACGAACAAAGCUAAGCUCAAACAUUAAGCUUCUCUAGCUAGGUUGGAGAAAACUCACCGAACGCUAAGGAAUCCCCCACGAACUCCAAAAGGGAGUUAGAUUCCUUCAAAUCCAACCUAAAUCAAAGUUCUAAACCAAUCAAUUUGGUUUUAGAAGCUACAAAUCAAAAAUCCCCAAUUCUAGCCCUAGAAUCUAAAAUCUAGGGUUUCAUUCAAAAGAAACCUUCAAAACUUAAUCAAAAUGGGAGAUUAAGUUUACUAACCUCACAAGAUGCUCAAAACCAAGCUCCAAGUCCUCUAGGGUUGAAGGUUGAUCUCCAAACAAGCUCCAACCAAGAUCCCAAGCUUUUCCAAUGGUGGAAAAACCCACAAAAGCAAGAAGAAGAGAAGGGAAAGAGAUCAAAACCCAUAAAAACCACCAAAAAAUGGAGAUCAAACCAAGAGGGGAAGACUCACCUUGUUUCUCUCUGUUUGGAGCUCAAGGAGAGGAGCCAAGGGGGAUGGGGUGGUAUAUAAAGGUGUUGUAACAAUUGCAAAAACACCCCUCCAUGAAACAGCCCCAAACUGCACUGCGUACCGGUACAUGGGUUUGUGUACCGGUACACAACCCACGAAAACGCAAACCCGAGCCUCGGGUUUGGCCGAAAAGCUGCCUGUGUACCGGUACACGGGCCCGUACCGGUACAGCCAUCAACCCCGUACCGGUACAGCAAGCGAACCCGUACCGGCACAGCAAGCGAACCCGUACCGGCACACGGCUUGCUGAAGGCUAUCCGAGAGCUGACCAAAAAUCCAACUUUUUGGAUUUUGAUGCAAGGUUUUAAACCACAAUUCUCGGGACUUGAACCAUAGGUCGGAACACUGUCAACAACCCACCAGAAAGUCUGGAAAAGCUCAGAACACAAUCAAUCACUCGAACCCAGCAAUUUGCAAGGUCCAAUGCGUUACACUUACCUUAACCUAAUAACCCUUUAGGUUAUUCCCAGCUCAAAAGACCUCCUGCUAGCUAACUCCACCAGCAGGAAUGCUUUCUUCAGCUCUGAUCAAUUCCUCCCCCUGCAUCCGCAAGCCUCAAGGCUAGCAACCUAACUCCUUAAGCCUCAAUUAACCCAGAGAGAGAGAGAAAAGAAAAGAGAUGAAAGAAGUGAUGGAAAAAGGCUGUGGACACAUACACACAUGCAACUCAGCUGGGAUUAAGUGAUAAGGAUGAACAAUUGCACAUAAACCCUUUAAAUCCCAGAAAUUGCAUUGCUGUCCACUCAGCCCGCAAUUGCUGUACCGGUACAAGAUCUUGUACCGGUACAAGAAGCUCUGAUGACUAUAUUAACAGCAGCAGCUCCAUCUCUCUUUUCCUCUUAUUUAACUCCUCCAAAUUUCAUUCGAGCACAUCCAAAACAUGCCAAAUAAACUUCCCAACCUACCAAAUUAAUUUGGUAACAUUUGAUUCUCAAUUUUACAUCAAUUUGAUCAUUUUGACCAAGUUGACCAAAUUUCAGCUUUAGAGUAAUAUCAGCAAUUGGAUCACUUUGAUCACUCCGAUUCCAUUCGUGUCGAUUCUCACACUUCCAAAAGAUGUUAGUGGCUGUUCUCAAGCUACUAAUUAAGUUUAGAAGCUUUUAAUUUUCAUUUUAACAUUAUUGUGAUCACUUUGAUCACAAUUAGCUCGAGACCAAUUUUCAAUGCAUUACACCGGAGGACCGGUCCUUGGCUGGGGGACCGGACCCCGUAGGUCCAAAAAAUCAGCCUUUUUAGGACUUAGCCAAAUUUCAGCCUUUUUCAGUUUUUGGUUCGCUUUCGCUUGUUUUUGCUCGUAGGGCUUCCGAUUCAACUAUAAUCGUACCGAGACCCCCAAUACAUGUUUUCGAGCGCGUUUAAACCAUUUUUUCAUCCACGCCUUGCCAGAUUUCGGCCAAGGUCCAAUCAUAGCUUUUCGGGUUCCGUUUUCACGCCUGACCUUCACCGAAAACACCCGAACGCUCCCGAACUUCACCGGAACCAUUCCAAUGGCUCUCCAAACUAACAUACACUAGUAUAUAUGUAUAUGUAACCGACCGUCCCUAGAGCAAGUGGCAAAGGGCUUGGUGGUUGGUACCCGAGACCUAAGUUCAAAUCCUAGUUGAUUCACAUUUCCAGCUAAGUUUAUUUCUAAAUGAAAUAAACGAAGCGGGUAGCGUGCUACCUAUCUCUCAAAAAGUAUAUAUGUAUAUGUAUUUGUAUAUGUAUAUGUAUAUGUAUAUGUAUAUGUAUGUAUAAAUGUAUGUAUAUAUGUAUACAUAUAUGUAUAUGUAUAUGUAUAUAUGUACAUGUAUAUGUAUAUGUAUGUAUAUAUGUAUAUGUAUGUAUAUAUGUAUAUGCAUACAUAUAUGUAUAUGUAUAUGUAUAUGUAUAUGUAUAUGUAUAUGUAUAUAUAUAUAUGUAUAUGUAUAUAUGUAUGUAUAUCUGUAUAUGUAUAUGUAUAUGUGUCACGCCUCGAGACCUGCCUAUUUGGUCGGAUUUGGGCACGCCGACAGACCGCCGAACGGACAGAGUUUCCCCCGUACGUUCUAGGCGUCAAAAUCGAUACAGUUCGCGAGGUUCCAACCCGAAAUGACAUACAAACAGAGAUUGCAUAAGGNCUGUAUAUGUAUAUGUAUAUGUGUCACGCCCCGAGACCUGCCUAUUUGGUCGGAUUCGGGCACGCCGACAGACCGCCGAACGGACAGAGUUUCCCCCGUACGUUCUAGGCGUCAAAAUCGAUACAGUUCGCGAGGUUCCAACCCGAAAUGACAUACAAACAGAGAUUGCAUAAGGAAGGUAUCAACAACAUAAAAACAACAAAGUUAUUACAAGCAUUCACAUCACAUGCUUUAUAAAUAUUAUAUUUUCGUUUUCUUGUCUUCCAAAUACAAUCAAGAUUAUUACAACAUU